AAGAGCGAGCGAGAAGAGGAGCGGCGUCGGGCUGAAGAGCGGGCAGAGGAGAAAGGCGCUCUGGGCAAAGGGACCUCCCUGUCAGCAGGGCGCGGUCACGUAAGAGCAUCGCGGGCACCUUUGGGGUGCCCCGGCUGGCUUUGCGCUGGGCGACCUCCCUGUAACCAGGGCUCGGUCUUUGCUUUUGUUGUCGUCGGCCUUUUGCCGUCGUGCUCCUUUGGCUGCCCGGAGAGAGCGGCGACCCUGUAAGGAGGGUGAGAGCCGCCGUCUCCGCACCCGAGGGGGGAAAGGGAGCUCUCUGGACCCCGAGCCCACCCUGUAAGCAGGGGAGGGCUGUUUCCCCGGCCCCCUCCUCCGGCCCCGGCGGCUUUGUGCCUGCCGGCGGCCUGCCCAGCGUGACCCCCUGGAGUCGGGGCGCGUCACAGUCUUUGCCCCUUGGCCACCCGUGAAGCCCCUUGGCGUGUUGAGGCCCCUCUGGCCUCCAUGCAGCCCGGGGGGCGGGUCUGAGGCUCUCCUCUCCUGCUCGGCGGUAGGGAUGGCGCCCCAGACAUUGGCUGCACAGGGCUCGCUCGCCCUUCUGGGAAGUUUUGUUUGUGUGUCCUUGUCCUUGUCUUUGUCCUUGUGGGUGUGAGCGAGCGAGCGAGUGAGCUUGUCCUUUAGGCCCCUCUUAAAAGCGCUGCAGCUUAGCUUAAGCUUCCCAGGAGGGAAAGGGCGGCUCUGUGCAGCAACAGGGGGGUCCCCUCUGAGCCCGCGAGCGGAGGGAGAGUCCGGGCUUGCCCCUCCUUUCUAUAAGGACGGAGCGAAGCCGCUUAGCGGUAGAGCGGGCAACGCGACCUGCCUGUAGUCAGGGCCUGGGUGUCUCUGCCUGCGUGGCCGCCUGUCCUGCUGGCGAGCUGCCAGCGUGACAGCCCUGUACUCGGGGCGUGUGUCACGAGCCGUGGAGCCCUCUUGUCCCCAGGAGCAGCCCGACCUCCCCGUAAGCGGGGCUGGGGGGGCCGCUCUAGCCAGCCCACAGGAACGAGCCCUCCCUCGCCCUUUAGCGGGCGCAGGUUGAGGAAGCGCUGCGCCGGAGGGCGCAGUCCCGCCUUUGGCGCUGCUUUUGGCUGGGGCGACCUCCCCGCGGUUGGGGUCGAGGUCGCUCCCUGGGCUCCUGAAGACGUGGCGUUGUGCUGCAGCCAGGCCGGCCGGCCCGUAAGUCGGGCGCAGGUGGGAGCCUCGGGCUCCGCGGGGCUUGUUGGGAGAGCCGAGCCGAGGGGGGCCGCCCUGUAAGCAGGGCUGUGCGUGUCCCCCGCGCUCGGCGGGAGGUGCUUGGAGGGACCCCCUGUAAUCAGGCGGGUAUCUCCUGGCCCCGGCCUUUCAGAGGCGCGGGGCCAGGAUGCGUGGGGGCCGGGCGUGCGCCCCCCCCGUCCUCGGGGCUGGGGCCGCGGCCCCCCGGCCUUUGGCCGUGAAGCUCCGCUGCCUGGCUGUCGAGUCUCGUUCCUGUGGCUGCGGGGGAAGGCCGAGCUCCCCGACUCCCUGGGUGUCGACCUGCCUGUAAGCAGGGUUCCGGGUCUGGGAGCCUUUGUGCUCAGCUGGCAGCCUGCGUGGGGUGACCGGCCCCGUUAGCGGGGUGCGGGUCGGGGUGCCCCUGAAUCGGAGAGAAGGAGCCUCCGUGGGCCUUUGGGACCAGGGCUGCCCUGUAAGUCAGGGCCCGGCCAGUGCCCUGCAGUCCCGGGCGCUUUGCGGUCCAGGCAGCGGCUCGAGCCCCCUGUAAGCAGGGACGCGGAGCCUCGUUGGCCGCUGCUUUGCAUGCCCAGCUUCGUUUGCCCAGGGUGCCCGCCUCCGAGCCCGGCUCCAGCACCGGCUGGAACUCUGGCCUGCGUCGCUUUGCGGCCGGCGGAGAAGAAAGAAGAGGCUUCGUGUGGAACGGCGAGUCAAGAGCGAGCGAGAAGAGGAGCGGCGUCGGGCUGAAGAGCGGGCAGAGGAGAAAGGCGCUCUGGGCAAAGGGACCUCCCUGUCAGCAGGGCGCGGUCACGUAAGAGCAUCGCGGGCACCUUUGGGGUGCCCCGGCUGGCUUUGCGCUGGGCGACCUCCCUGUAACCAGGGCUCGGUCUUUGCUUUUGUUGUCGUCGGCCUUUUGCCGUCGUGCUCCUUUGGCUGCCCGGAGAGAGCGGCGACCCUGUAAGGAGGGUGAGAGCCGCCGUCUCCGCACCCGAGGGGGGAAAGGGAGCUCUCUGGACCCCGAGCCCACCCUGUAAGCAGGGGAGGGCUGUUUCCCCGGCCCCCUCCUCUGGCCCCGGCGGCUUUGUGCCUGCCGGCGGCCUGCCCAGCGUGACCCCCUGGAGUCGGGGCGCGUCACAGUCUUUGCCCCUUGGCCACCCGUGAAGCCCCUUGGCGUGUUGAGGCCCCUCUGGCCUCCAUGCAGCCCGGGGGGCGGGUCUGAGGCUCUCCUCUCCUGCUCGGCGGUAGGGAUGGCGCCCCAGACAUUGGCUGCACAGGGCUCGCUCGCCCUUCUGGGAAGUUUUGUUUGUGUGUCCUUGUCCUUGUCUUUGUCCUUGUGGGUGUGAGCGAGCGAGCGAGUGAGCUUGUCCUUUAGGCCCCUCUUAAAAGCGCUGCAGCUUAGCUUAAGCUUCCCAGGAGGGAAAGGGCGGCUCUGUGCAGCAACAGGGGGGUCCCCUCUGAGCCCGCGAGCGGAGGGAGAGUCCGGGCUUGCCCCUCCUUUCUAUAAGGACGGAGCGAAGCCGCUUAGCGGUAGAGCGGGCAACGCGACCUGCCUGUAGUCAGGGCCUGGGUGUCUCUGCCUGCGUGGCCGCCUGUCCUGCUGGCGAGCUGCCAGCGUGACAGCCCUGUACUCGGGGCGUGUGUCACGAGCCGUGGAGCCCUCUUGUCCCCAGGAGCAGCCCGACCUCCCCGUAAGCGGGGCUGGGGGGGCCGCUCUAGCCAGCCCACAGGAACGAGCCCUCCCUCGCCCUUUAGCGGGCGCAGGUUGAGGAAGCGCUGCGCCGGAGGGCGCAGUCCCGCCUUUGGCGCUGCUUUUGGCUGGGGCGACCUCCCCGCGGUUGGGGUCGAGGUCGCUCCCUGGGCUCCUGAAGACGUGGCGUUGUGCUGCAGCCAGGCCGGCCGGCCCGUAAGUCGGGCGCAGGUGGGAGCCUCGGGCUCCGCGGGGCUUGUUGGGAGAGCCGAGCCGAGGGGGGCCGCCCUGUAAGCAGGGCUGUGCGUGUCCCCCGCGCUCGGCGGGAGGUGCUUGGAGGGACCCCCUGUAAUCAGGCGGGUAUCUCCUGGCCCCGGCCUUUCAGAGGCGCGGGGCCAGGAUGCGUGGGGGCCGGGCGUGCGCCCCCCCCGUCCUCGGGGCUGGGGCUGCGGCCCCCCGGCCUUUGGCCGUGAAGCUCCGCUGCCUGGCUGUCGAGUCUCGUUCCUGUGGCUGCGGGGGAAGGCCGAGCUCCCCGACUCCCUGGGUGUCGACCUGCCUGUAAGCAGGGUUCCGGGUCUGGGAGCCUUUGUGCUCAGCUGGCAGCCUGCGUGGGGUGACCGGCCCCGUUAGCGGGGUGCGGGUCGGGGUGCCCCUGAAUCGGAGAGAAGGAGCCUCCGUGGGCCUUUGGGACCAGGGCUGCCCUGUAAGUCAGGGCCCGGCCAGUGCCCUGCAGUCCCGGGCGCUUUGCGGUCCAGGCAGCGGCUCGAGCCCCCUGUAAGCAGGGACGCGGAGCCUCGUUGGCCGCUGCUUUGCAUGCCCAGCUUCGUUUGCCCAGGGUGCCCGCCUCCGAGCCCGGCUCCAGCACCGGCUGGAACUCUGGCCUGCGUCGCUUUGCGGCCGGCGGAGAAGAAAGAAGAGGCUUCGUGUGGAACGGCGAGUCAAGAGCGAGCGAGAAGAGGAGCGGCGUCGGGCUGAAGAGCGGGCAGAGGAGAAAGGCGCUCUGGGCAAAGGGACCUCCCUGUCAGCAGGGCGCGGUCACGUAAGAGCAUCGCGGGCACCUUUGGGGUGCCCCGGCUGGCUUUGCGCUGGGCGACCUCCCUGUAACCAGGGCUCGGUCUUUGCUUUUGUUGUCGUCGGCCUUUUGCCGUCGUGCUCCUUUGGCUGCCCGGAGAGAGCGGCGACCCUGUAAGGAGGGUGAGAGCCGCCGUCUCCGCACCCGAGGGGGGAAAGGGAGCUCUCUGGACCCCGAGCCCACCCUGUAAGCAGGGGAGGGCUGUUUCCCCGGCCCCCUCCUCUGGCCCCGGCGGCUUUGUGCCUGCCGGCGGCCUGCCCAGCGUGACCCCCUGGAGUCGGGGCGCGUCACAGUCUUUGCCCCUUGGCCACCCGUGAAGCCCCUUGGCGUGUUGAGGCCCCUCUGGCCUCCAUGCAGCCCGGGGGGCGGGUCUGAGGCUCUCCUCUCCUGCUCGGCGGUAGGGAUGGCGCCCCAGACAUUGGCUGCACAGGGCUCGCUCGCCCUUCUGGGAAGUUUUGUUUGUGUGUCCUUGUCCUUGUCUUUGUCCUUGUGGGUGUGAGCGAGCGAGCGAGUGAGCUUGUCCUUUAGGCCCCUCUUAAAAGCGCUGCAGCUUAGCUUAAGCUUCCCAGGAGGGAAAGGGCGGCUCUGUGCAGCAACAGGGGGGUCCCCUCUGAGCCCGCGAGCGGAGGGAGAGUCCGGGCUUGCCCCUCCUUUCUAUAAGGACGGAGCGAAGCCGCUUAGCGGUAGAGCGGGCAACGCGACCUGCCUGUAGUCAGGGCCUGGGUGUCUCUGCCUGCGUGGCCGCCUGUCCUGCUGGCGAGCUGCCAGCGUGACAGCCCUGUACUCGGGGCGUGUGUCACGAGCCGUGGAGCCCUCUUGUCCCCAGGAGCAGCCCGACCUCCCCGUAAGCGGGGCUGGGGGGGCCGCUCUAGCCAGCCCACAGGAACGAGCCCUCCCUCGCCCUUUAGCGGGCGCAGGUUGAGGAAGCGCUGCGCCGGAGGGCGCAGUCCCGCCUUUGGCGCUGCUUUUGGCUGGGGCGACCUCCCCGCGGUUGGGGUCGAGGUCGCUCCCUGGGCUCCUGAAGACGUGGCGUUGUGCUGCAGCCAGGCCGGCCGGCCCGUAAGUCGGGCGCAGGUGGGAGCCUCGGGCUCCGCGGGGCUUGUUGGGAGAGCCGAGCCGAGGGGGGCCGCCCUGUAAGCAGGGCUGUGCGUGUCCCCCGCGCUCGGCGGGAGGUGCUUGGAGGGACCCCCUGUAAUCAGGCGGGUAUCUCCUGGCCCCGGCCUUUCAGAGGCGCGGGGCCAGGAUGCGUGGGGGCCGGGCGUGCGCCCCCCCCGUCCUCGGGGCUGGGGCUGCGGCCCCCCGGCCUUUGGCCGUGAAGCUCCGCUGCCUGGCUGUCGAGUCUCGUUCCUGUGGCUGCGGGGGAAGGCCGAGCUCCCCGACUCCCUGGGUGUCGACCUGCCUGUAAGCAGGGUUCCGGGUCUGGGAGCCUUUGUGCUCAGCUGGCAGCCUGCGUGGGGUGACCGGCCCCGUUAGCGGGGUGCGGGUCGGGGUGCCCCUGAAUCGGAGAGAAGGAGCCUCCGUGGGCCUUUGGGACCAGGGCUGCCCUGUAAGUCAGGGCCCGGCCAGUGCCCUGCAGUCCCGGGCGCUUUGCGGUCCAGGCAGCGGCUCGAGCCCCCUGUAAGCAGGGACGCGGAGCCUCGUUGGCCGCUGCUUUGCAUGCCCAGCUUCGUUUGCCCAGGGUGCCCGCCUCCGAGCCCGGCUCCAGCACCGGCUGGAACUCUGGCCUGCGUCGCUUUGCGGCCGGCGGAGAAGAAAGAAGAGGCUUCGUGUGGAACGGCGAGUCAAGAGCGAGCGAGAAGAGGAGCGGCGUCGGGCUGAAGAGCGGGCAGAGGAGAAAGGCGCUCUGGGCAAAGGGACCUCCCUGUCAGCAGGGCGCGGUCACGUAAGAGCAUCGCGGGCACCUUUGGGGUGCCCCGGCUGGCUUUGCGCUGGGCGACCUCCCUGUAACCAGGGCUCGGUCUUUGCUUUUGUUGUCGUCGGCCUUUUGCCGUCGUGCUCCUUUGGCUGCCCGGAGAGAGCGGCGACCCUGUAAGGAGGGUGAGAGCCGCCGUCUCCGCACCCGAGGGGGGAAAGGGAGCUCUCUGGACCCCGAGCCCACCCUGUAAGCAGGGGAGGGCUGUUUCCCCGGCCCCCUCCUCUGGCCCCGGCGGCUUUGUGCCUGCCGGCGGCCUGCCCAGCGUGACCCCCUGGAGUCGGGGCGCGUCACAGUCUUUGCCCCUUGGCCACCCGUGAAGCCCCUUGGCGUGUUGAGGCCCCUCUGGCCUCCAUGCAGCCCGGGGGGCGGGUCUGAGGCUCUCCUCUCCUGCUCGGCGGUAGGGAUGGCGCCCCAGACAUUGGCUGCACAGGGCUCGCUCGCCCUUCUGGGAAGUUUUGUUUGUGUGUCCUUGUCCUUGUCUUUGUCCUUGUGGGUGUGAGCGAGCGAGCGAGUGAGCUUGUCCUUUAGGCCCCUCUUAAAAGCGCUGCAGCUUAGCUUAAGCUUCCCAGGAGGGAAAGGGCGGCUCUGUGCAGCAACAGGGGGGUCCCCUCUGAGCCCGCGAGCGGAGGGAGAGUCCGGGCUUGCCCCUCCUUUCUAUAAGGACGGAGCGAAGCCGCUUAGCGGUAGAGCGGGCAACGCGACCUGCCUGUAGUCAGGGCCUGGGUGUCUCUGCCUGCGUGGCCGCCUGUCCUGCUGGCGAGCUGCCAGCGUGACAGCCCUGUACUCGGGGCGUGUGUCACGAGCCGUGGAGCCCUCUUGUCCCCAGGAGCAGCCCGACCUCCCCGUAAGCGGGGCUGGGGGGGCCGCUCUAGCCAGCCCACAGGAACGAGCCCUCCCUCGCCCUUUAGCGGGCGCAGGUUGAGGAAGCGCUGCGCCGGAGGGCGCAGUCCCGCCUUUGGCGCUGCUUUUGGCUGGGGCGACCUCCCCGCGGUUGGGGUCGAGGUCGCUCCCUGGGCUCCUGAAGACGUGGCGUUGUGCUGCAGCCAGGCCGGCCGGCCCGUAAGUCGGGCGCAGGUGGGAGCCUCGGGCUCCGCGGGGCUUGUUGGGAGAGCCGAGCCGAGGGGGGCCGCCCUGUAAGCAGGGCUGUGCGUGUCCCCCGCGCUCGGCGGGAGGUGCUUGGAGGGACCCCCUGUAAUCAGGCGGGUAUCUCCUGGCCCCGGCCUUUCAGAGGCGCGGGGCCAGGAUGCGUGGGGGCCGGGCGUGCGCCCCCCCCCGUCCUCGGGGCUGGGGCCGCGGCCCCCCGGCCUUUGGCCGUGAAGCUCCGCUGCCUGGCUGUCGAGUCUCGUUCCUGUGGCUGCGGGGGAAGGCCGAGCUCCCCGACUCCCUGGGUGUCGACCUGCCUGUAAGCAGGGUUCCGGGUCUGGGAGCCUUUGUGCUCAGCUGGCAGCCUGCGUGGGGUGACCGGCCCCGUUAGCGGGGUGCGGGUCGGGGUGCCCCUGAAUCGGAGAGAAGGAGCCUCCGUGGGCCUUUGGGACCAGGGCUGCCCUGUAAGUCAGGGCCCGGCCAGUGCCCUGCAGUCCCGGGCGCUUUGCGGUCCAGGCAGCGGCUCGAGCCCCCUGUAAGCAGGGACGCGGAGCCUCGUUGGCCGCUGCUUUGCAUGCCCAGCUUCGUUUGCCCAGGGUGCCCGCCUCCGAGCCCGGCUCCAGCACCGGCUGGAACUCUGGCCUGCGUCGCUUUGCGGCCGGCGGAGAAGAAAGAAGAGGCUUCGUGUGGAACGGCGAGUCAAGAGCGAGCGAGAAGAGGAGCGGCGUCGGGCUGAAGAGCGGGCAGAGGAGAAAGGCGCUCUGGGCAAAGGGACCUCCCUGUCAGCAGGGCGCGGUCACGUAAGAGCAUCGCGGGCACCUUUGGGGUGCCCCGGCUGGCUUUGCGCUGGGCGACCUCCCUGUAACCAGGGCUCGGUCUUUGCUUUUGUUGUCGUCGGCCUUUUGCCGUCGUGCUCCUUUGGCUGCCCGGAGAGAGCGGCGACCCUGUAAGGAGGGUGAGAGCCGCCGUCUCCGCACCCGAGGGGGGAAAGGGAGCUCUCUGGACCCCGAGCCCACCCUGUAAGCAGGGGAGGGCUGUUUCCCCGGCCCC